CAGCCGCCGCGGUAAAACCAGCACCUCGAGUGGUCAGGAGGUUUAUUGGGCCUAAAGCAUCCGUAGCCGGUUGCAUAAGUUUUCGGUUAAAUCUAUGCGCUCAACGUAUAGGCCGCCGAAAAUACUGUGCAGCUAGGGAGUGGGAGAGGUACACGGUACUCAAUAGGAAGGGGUAAAAUCCUUUGAUCUAUUGAUGACCACCUGUGGCGAAGGCGGUGUACCAGAACACGUUCGACGGUGAGGGAUGAAAGCUGGGGGAGCAAACCGGAUUAGAUACCCGGGUAGUCCCAGCUGUAAACGAUGCAGACUCGGUGAUGCAUUGGCUCGUGGCCAAUGCAGUGCCGCAGGGAAGCCGUUAAGUCUGCCGCCUGGGAAGUACGUACGCAAGUAUGAAACUUAAAGGAAUUGGCGGGGGAGCAC
rnacentral:rRNA from 2 species